rnacentral:rRNA from 1 species
UACAGAGGGCUCAAGCGUUGUUCGGAUUCAUUGGGCGUAAAGGGUGCGUAGGCGGUCGCGCAAGUCGGAUGUGAAAUCUCAGGGCUCAACCCUGAAACUGCAUUCGAUACUGCGUGGCUAGAGUGCUGGAGAGGAGACUGGAAUUUACGGUGUAGCAGUGAAAUGCGUAGAUAUCGUAAGGAACACCGGUGGCGAAGGCGGUUCUCUGGGCCUGUACUGACGCUGAGGAGCGAAAGCGUGGGGAGCGAACAGG